AGUGAGCGCUGGCGGUAGGCCUAACACAUGCAAGUCGAACGGCAGCACAGUAAGAGCUUGCUCUUACGGGUGGCGAGUGGCGGACGGGUGAGGAAUACAUCGGAAUCUACUUUUUCGUGGGGGAUAACGUAGGGAAACUUACGCUAAUACCGCAUACGACCUACGGGUGAAAGCAGGGGAUCUUCGGACCUUGCGCGAUUGAAUGAGCCGAUGUCGGAUUAGCUAGUUGGCGGGGUAAAGGCCCACCAAGGCGACGAUCCGUAGCUGGUCUGAGAGGAUGAUCAGCCACACUGGAACUGAGACACGGUCCAGACUCCUACGGGAGGCAGCAGUGGGGAAUAUUGGACAAUGGGGGCAAGCCUGAUCCAGCCAUACCGCGUGGGUGAAGAAGGCCUUCGGGUUGUAAAGCCCUUUUGUUGGGAAAGAAAAGCAGCAGGUUAAUACCCCGCUGUUCUGACGGUACCCAAAGAAUAAGCACCGGCUAACUUCGUG
rnacentral:rRNA from 1 species